rnacentral:rRNA from 1 species
CCUACGGGUGGCAGCAGUGAGGAAUAUUGGUCAAUGGGCGAGAGCCUGAACCAGCCAAGUCGCGUGAGGGAGUACUGCCCUAUGGGUUGUAAACCUCUUUUGUAGGGGAGCAAAAGCCGGACGUGUCCGGCUGUGAGAGUACCCGAAGAAACAGCAUCGGCUAACUCCGUGCCAGCAGCCGCGGUAAUACGGAGGAUGCGAGCGUUAUCCGGAUUUAUUGGGUUUAAAGGGUGAGCAGGCGGAUGUUUAAGUCAGCGGGCAAAUCGUGGGGCUCAACCCCAUCCAGCCGUUGAAACUGGGGAUCUGGAGUGUGCGAGAGGUAUGCGGAAUGCGUGGUGUAGCGGUGAAAUGCAUAGAUAUCACGCAGAACUCCGAUUGCGAAGGCAGCUUACUAAGCCAUAACUGACACUGAAGAACGAAAGCGUGGGGAGCAAACAGGAUUAGAUACCCGAGUAGUC